CCUACGGGAGGCAGCAGUGGGGAAUCUUGCACAAUGGAGGAAACUCUGAUGCAGCGAUGCCGCGUGAGUGAAGAAGGCCUUUGGGUUGUAAAGCUCUUUUGUAGGGGAAGAUAAUGACUGUACCCUAAGAAUAAGGUCCGGCUAACUUCGUGCCAGCAGCCGCGGUAAUACGAAGGGACCUAGCGUAGUUCGGAAUUACUGGGCGUAAAGCGCGCGUAGGCCGUUGAGUUAGUUAAUUGUGAAAUCCCAAAGCUUAACUUUGGAACUGCAAUUAAAACUGCUCGACUAGAGUUUGAUAGAGGAAAGCGGAAUACAUAGUGUAGAGGUGAAAUUCGUAGAUAUUAUGUAGAACACCAGUUGCGAAGGCGGCUUUCUGGAUCAACACUGACGCUGAGGCGCGAAAGUAUGGGUAGCAAAGAGGAUUAGAUACCCUCGUAGUCCAUACCAUAAACGAUGAUUGCUAGAUGUUGGAAAUUUAUUUUCAGUAUCGCAGCUAACGCAUUAAGCAAUCCGCCUGGGGAGUACGACCGCAAGGUUAAAACUCAAAGGAAUUGACGGCNGAGAGUGCGACGACGACGACGAGGAGAG
rnacentral:rRNA from 1 species